UUAUCUAGCACUGACAGGUCUACACGUGUACUGACCCCUCCACGUACCUCCUGGCACUGAGCAUGUAAUGGCACUCAGUAACUGUUUCUUGCCUCACAGGACCAAGAAGUCUUAACUAGCGGAGAUCCAGAUCCGAGGGGAGAGGUUUGGACCCGUGCUGACAGAGGAAAAAUGUCAAAGAAACUGCGAAGGCGUUUAAAAGUCAGAACACUACCCCACAGACAGGAGGAAUGUAGCCCUGGCCAAGGAAACACACCCAGAGGCAGUGCCGUCUGUCAACCCUCUCUUCCGUUCUGGGUCCCAUAGGGCAGAGAGGGUGGCAGUUCUGCAUCCCCUUCAGAGCAUCAGGAAAUGGCGGGCUACGGAGCUCACGCCUACUCUCUGGCUUUCAGCCACAGUCAGCUACAGGAGAAGACCCAGUAUGGUGGAAGGCAUCAUGGACGUGACGCAUAAUACCAGAGAAGACAUUCAGAAGCCAAAGUAUUGUUUUUAAAAGCAAAGAACCAGCACUAAAGUAAAAGGUAAAGGUUUACAAUAAAGCACUGUGCUCAUCAUAA